rnacentral:lncRNA from 1 species
GUUGUUGGAUCGUAUCACAAUUCAUAAUUUCAAUAAAUUUUUCGUCCAUACUAAUAUUUUGAAAGUUAAGCAAUAUGUUUUGAAGCUUCAUAAAAAAUUUCAAAUCUUAAAUCACUGUACAAGUCACAUGUCAUUAGAAAAUGUUUUUUCGGUUUCAACUUCGCUUAAAUUACAGAAUUGACAAAGUCUGUUUUGAACCGGUACUGGCGGCCUGGAGUAACGUCCUGUUUCAAGCGCUAACGGUAACGAACCCGCGCGGAACAUAGCCAUAAGUCUUCUUUGCGAACUAGUUAA